GUGCUCACUUCAGCAGCACAUAUACUAAAAUUGGAAUGAGAGAGAAGACUAUUAUGGCCCCUGUGCAAGGAUGACAUGCAAAUUCGUGAAACGUUCUAUAUUUUU
ensembl:snRNA U6 U6 spliceosomal RNA